rnacentral:rRNA from 1 species
GUGGGGAAUAUUGGACAAUGGGGGGAACCCUGAUCCAGCCAUGCCGCGUGUGUGAAGAAGGCCUUUUGGUUGUAAAGCACUUUAAGCGAGGAGGAAGCUACCGAGAUUAAUACUCUUGGAUAGUGGACGUUACUCGCAGAAUAAGCACCGGCUAACUCUGUGCCAGCAGCCGCGGUAAUACAGAGGGUGCAAGCGUUAAUCGGAUUUACUGGGCGUAAAGCGCGCGUAGGUGGCCAAUUAAGUCAAAUGUGAAAUCCCCGAGCUUAACUUGGGAAUUGCAUUCGAUACUGGUUGGCUAGAGUAUGGGAGAGGAUGGUAGAAUUCCAGGUGUAGCGGUGAAAUGCGUAGAGAUCUGGAGGAAUACCGAUGGCGAAGGCAGCCAUCUGGCCUAAUACUGACACUGAGGUGCGAAAGCAUGGGGAGCAAACAGGAUUAGAAACCCCUGUAGUCC